rnacentral:rRNA from 1 species
AGCGGCGGAUGGGUGAGUAACACGUGGGGAACCUGCCCCUAAGUCUGGGAUACCAUUUGGAAACAGGUGCUAAUACCGGAUAAUAAAGCAGAUCGCAUGAUCAGCUUUUGAAAGGCGGCGUAAGCUGUCGCUAAGGGAUGGCCCCGCGGUGCAUCAGCUAGUUGGUAAGGUAACGGCUUACCAAGGCGACGAUGCAUAGCCGAGUUGAGAGACUGAUCGGCCACAUUGGGACUGAGACACGGCCCAAACUCCUACGGGAGGCAGCAGUAGGGAAUCUCCCACAAUGGACGCAAGUCUGAUGGAGCAACGCCGCGUGAGUGAAGAAGGUUUUCGGAUCGUAAAGCUCUGUUGUUGGUGAAGAAGGAUAGAGGUAGUAACUGGCCUUUAUUUGACGGUAAUCAACCAGAAAGUCACGGCUAACUACGUGCCAGCAGCCGCGGUAAUACGUAGGUGGCAAGCGUUGUCCGGAUUUAUUGGGCGUAAAGCGAGCGCAGGCGGAAAAAUAAGUCUAAUGUGAAAGCCCUCGGCUUAACCGAGGAACUGCAUCGGAAACUGUUUUUCUUGAGUGCAGAAGAGGAGGGUGGAACUCCAUGUGUAGCGGUGGAAUGCGUAGAUAUAUGGAAGAACACCAGUGGCGAAAGGCGGCUCUCUGGUCUGCAACUGACGCUGAGGCUCGAAAGCAUGGGUAGCGAACAGGGUUAGAUACCCUGGGUAGUCCAUGCCGUAAACGAUGAGUGCUAAGUGU